rnacentral:rRNA from 1 species
CAGCAGCCGCGGGAAUACGGAGGGUGCAAGCGUUAAUCGGAAUUACUGGGCGUAAAGCGCACGCAGGCGGUCUGUCAAGUCGGAUGUGAAAUCCCCGGGCUCAACCUGGGAACUGCAUUCGAAACUGGCAGGCUAGAGUCUUGUAGAGGGGGGUAGAAUUCCAGGUGUAGCGGUGAAAUGCGUAGAGAUCUGGAGGAAUACCGGUGGCGAAGGCGGCCCCCUGGACAAAGACUGACGCUCAGGUGCGAAAGCGUGGGGAGCAAACAGGAUUAGAUACCCCAGUAGUCCCUGUCUCUUAUAC